AGGGAGUUUUGAUCUUGGUUCAGGAGGAACGUGGGCGGCGUGCUUAACACAUGCAAGUCGAACGGACGAGAGGAGCUUGUUCCUCAAGUUAGUGGCGAACGGGUGAGUAACGCGUGAGCAACCUGCCUUUCAGAGGGGGACAACGGUUGGAAACGACCGCUAAUACCGCAUGAUGCAGUUGGAUCGCAUGAUCUGGCUGCCAAAGAUUUAUCGCUGAAAGAUGGGCUCGCGUCUGAUUAGAUAGUUGGUGGGGUAACGGCCUACCAAGUCGACGAUCAGUAGCCGGACUGAGAGGUUGAACGGCCACAUUGGGACUGAGAUACGGCCCAGACUCCUACGGGAGGCAGCAGUGGGGAAUAUUGGGCAAUGGGGGAAACCCUGACCCAGCAACGCCGCGUGAAGGAAGAAGGCUUUCGGGUUGUAAACUUCUUUUACCAGGGACGAAGGACGUGACGGUACCUGGAGAAAAAGCCACGGCUAACUACGUGCCAGCAGCCGCGGUAAUACGUAGGUGGCAAGCGUUGUCCGGAUUUACUGGGUGUAAAGGGCGUGUAGGCGGAGCAGCAAGUCAGAAGUGAAAUCUCCGGGCUUAACCCGGAAACUGCUUUUGAAACUGUUGCCCUUGAGUAUCGGAGAGGCAGGCGGAAUUCCUAGUGUAGCGGUGAAAUGCGUAGAUAUUAGGAGGAACACCAGUGGCGAAGGCGGCCUGCUGGACGACAACUGACGCUGAGGCGCGAAAGCGUGGGGAGCAAACAGGAUUAGAUACCCUGGUAGUCCCCU
rnacentral:rRNA from 1 species